AGAGUUUGAUCCUGGCUCAGGAUGAACGCUGACAGAAUGCUUAACACAUGCAAGUCUACUUGAAUUCUCUUCGGAGAUAGUAGGGUGGCGGACGGGUGAGUAACACGUAAAGAACUUGCCCUGCAGUCUGGGACAACUAUUGGAAACGAUAGCUAAUACCGGAUAUUAUGCGAGAGCCGCAUGGCUCUUUCAUGAAAGCUAUAUGCGCUGCAGGAGAGCUUUGCGUCCCAUUAGUUAGUUGGUGAGGUAACGGCUCACCAAGACGAUGAUGGGUAGCCGGCCUGAGAGGGUGAACGGCCACAAGGGGACUGAGACACGGCCCUUACUCCUACGGGAGGCAGCAGUGGGGAAUAUUGGACAAUGGACCAAAAGUCUGAUCCAGCAAUUCUGUGUGCACGAUGAAGUUUUUCGGAAUGUAAAGUGCUUUCAGUUGGGAAGAAGAAAGUGACGGUACCAACAGAAGAAGCGACGGCUAAAUACGUGCCAGCAGCCGCGGUAAUACGUAUGUCGCAAGCGUUAUCCGGAUUUAUUGGGCGUAAAGCGCGUCUAGGCGGUUUGGUAAGUCUGAUGUGAAAAUGCGGGGCUCAACUCCGUAUUGCGUUGGAAACUGCUAAACUAGAGUACUGGAGAGGUAGGCGGAACUACAAGUGUAGAGGUGAAAUUCGUAGAUAUUUGUAGGCAAUGCCGAUGGGGAAGCCAGCCUACUGGACAGAUACUGACGCUAAAGCGCGAAAGCGUGGGCAGCAAACAGGAUUAGAUACCCUGGUAGUCCACGCCGUAAACGAUGAAUAGUAGGUGUUGGGGGGUCCAACCUCAG
rnacentral:rRNA from 1 species